rnacentral:rRNA from 1 species
CGUAACAAGGUCUCCGUUGGUGAACCAGCGGAGGGAUCAUUACAGAGUUGCAAAACUCCCACAAACCAUCGCGAAUCUUACCCGUACGGUUGCCUCGGCGCUGGCGGUCCGGAAAGGCCCUCGGGCCCUCCCGGAUCCUCGGGUCUCCCGCUCGCGGGAGGCUGCCCGCCGGAGUGCCGAAACUAAACUCUUGAUAUCUUAUGUCUCUCUGAGUAAACUUUUAAAUAAGUCAAAACUUUCAACAACGGAUCUCUUGGUUCUGGCAUCGAUGAAGAACGCAGCGAAAUGCGAUAAGUAAUGUGAAUUGCAGAAUUCAGUGAAUCAUCGAAUCUUUGAACGCACAUUGCGCUCGCCAGUAUUCUGGCGAGCAUGCCUGUUCGAGCGUCAUUUCAACCAUCAAGCUCUGCUUGCGUUGGGGAUCCGCGGCUGUCCGCGGUCCCUCAAAAUCAGUGGCGGGCUCGCUAGUCACACCGAGCGUAGUAACUCUACAUCGCUAUGGUCGUGCGGCGGGUUCUUGCCGUAAAACCCCCCAUUUCUAAGGUUGACCUCGGAUCAGGUAGGAAUACCCGCUGAACUUAAGCAUAUCAAUA